ACCAUUGAUAAAUACAUACCGAACAUGUUUGAACUAUCGUCCAUUUUGAAUCGGCUAUUUAAACUUUCAAAAUUUUGACUUUCGUCCAACCUUUUAAUUUGUUUGAUUUGAGUCGGUCAACGGUAUUUUAAAUUCAAAAUAUAAGCUAAUUACUUAUUUUAAUGAAUUUUAUAAUUGCGAGAAUUAAAUAAGGUAUACUAACUUAACAUAUAAAGAUAGACAAUCCACUUAAAUUUUAAAGUCAAAAUAUCAUCGACUGACUCAAAUCAAACAAAUUGACGGGUUCGACAGCAAAAUCAAAAUUUUAAUAGAUUGGAUAGCUAAAUCAGAAUGGUUCAUAGCUUAGAUAAAUAUUGUUGUCCAAAUUGAAAGAUUCUCAGUGCAUGCAUUUUGACAAAUAGUGCUAUACGGGAUUAAACAGGCACAUAAAAAUAAAUAGGGAUAAUUGCCUAUAUACCCCUCAUGCGUUCGGAAAUAUCCGAUCUACCCCUACUUUUUUUUUCUUUCUAAAAUGCCCCUCAUAUGUUCCACCGUUAUUCCAAAAUACCCCCGCAGUUAUCCCCUGUUAGCUUAACUCGGGUUAAACAUGAGUUAAAUGUAUACUAGAGUUAAAACCUAUAUAAAAUACCUAUUUUACCCCUAACUUAUUAUGCCAAUUCCUUAAGUUAUCCUCUUUCUCUCCCAAAGUCCCAACUUGAUCGCCGGCUCCUCCGCCUCCAUGUCGCCGGCUCCCGCUGCCGG
rnacentral:lncRNA from 1 species